AUGGGACAACUGGCUUCACCCACAACAUCUGAAGAAUCCGACUGCUUUGGAUCCCACAACUGCUUUGCCAUGUGGAGAUGGAUAAUGGGACCCUGUUUCCAUCUUUUCUUUAUCUCUCAGAGAGAGGAAAAUACUUGUGGAUUUUCCCCCAGUAGUGAUGUAGCAGAUACUUGGGGGCAGGGGAGAGUUUCAAGAAUCAAUAUAUGUAGGAAGAGAGUAAGAGAAAGAUUGAGAAAAAGAGAGUAUCACUCUUUCAUCUGGAGAGAUUGCAAGAAUGAAUUCAUCUCUGACUUGCCCACAAAAUCCACAGCUCAGGGGUCAAUGGUAUAUGAGACUCUCCAGCGCUGCCACAAUGGUAUAGUGUUUUCCCAUGCUGGAAAACUGGAAUCGAAGGAAGAGAGUAAGUGAAAGAUUGAGAAAAAGAAAGUAUCACACUUUCAUCUGGAGAGAUUGCAAGAAUGACUUCAUCUCUGACUUGCCCACAAAAUUCACAGCUCAGGGGUUAAUGGUAUAUGAGACUCUCCGGCACUGCCACAAUGGUACAGUGUUUUCCCAUGCUGGAAAACUGGAAUCUAUCCUGCUUGUACAACUGUUACUGUUCAUGUGCUGAUGCACUUCCCUGUCCUCUAUUUAACUCAGCUGGACCAUAGGAGGGCUACAGACAGGAGAUCUCUAGAGGUUUGAGGACAGCUGACAAGAAUCUUUGCAUAUGAGUUUCUGGAUCAAAUACAGAACUAGCCAGUACAGUUAAGCAAACCAACUUCUGUUUAAUCUUGGGAGCUUUAUAAAACAGGAAACUUUGAAGAGUAAAAUGUGUUUAAGAGAUUUUAAUUAAGAAUUAAAUGGGUCAGAGUACAUGGCUGUAUAUAGCAAUGCACAAUGUUCUUGUUGGAGUUUUUACAACACCUAAUAGGUGUGGCUGGGAGGGACCUUGCUCUGCUGUGGUGACUGUCAAUCUAUCCAGCACUAACCAAUUGUUCCUUUCCUGCCUCUGACUUCAAAGAGAGUCCCACCUCUCUGUUAAAUUCCCUUUCCCUCUCUUAAAUCUGUUGAAGUCUGUGGAAAGCAGUGAGUCUGUUUGCUAGUUUGCUGUUUAAUCUGUUCAGAACUGAAAAUAAAUAAAAUGGUUUUUAUUUUUCCUACUAAUAC
rnacentral:lncRNA from 1 species